UACAGAGGUCUCAAGCGUUGUUCGGAUUCAUUGGGCGUAAAGGGUGCGUAGGUGGCGUCGUAAGUCGGGUGUGAAAUUUCGGAGCUUAACUCCGAAACUGCAUUCGAUACUGCGGUGCUUGAGGACUGGAGAGGAGACUGGAAUUUACGGUGUAGCAGUGAAAUGCGUAGAGAUCGUAAGGAAGACCAGUGGCGAAGGCGGGUCCCUGGACAACUCCUGACACUGAGGCACGAAAGCUAGGGGAGCAAACAGG
rnacentral:rRNA from 1 species